rnacentral:tRNA from 1 species
UCCCCCGUAGUCUAGUUGGUUAGGAUACGAGACUCUCACUCUCGAGGCCCGGGUUCGAUUCCCGGCGGGGGAA